rnacentral:ncRNA from 3 species
ACGAGGGCGACCGAGUGUGGGGAGGAAGCGUGGAGCGAAACCGCGAGCCGAUGGACAAGAACCAGAUAUAAGGCGAUGCCGAUCAGGGCGAGCAGGCUGAAAACUGCGAAGCUCUCGUGGCCAAAGAUCAGGCGGCGUAAAUCUGGCGGCUGUGCGGGGAAGGACUGCGUUC